CCGUGGUAACUCCUCAAGGGAGAGAGCCCUCAGCUUUUAGCAGGUGAAAACCAUUACAGCCUUAGAGCACCUGACAGGACAGGCUGGAUGCUGUUUAACCUGAGGACAUCAGCUGAACUAAUGACGCAAGCCCUGCAAAGUGGAGCCCUCUCUUUCAGCCCUUGCUGGCAGUGUUUUGUGAGAGGAUGCAAUGCACAACAACCUUUUCAGGAGACGAAGCAAGGAGAUCUCCAGGUACCUCCAAAAUAAAGAGACAAAAGAUGUAUCUGAAACACCCUGAAAGUGAUGUCCAUUUACAAACCAGGAUCCAGACUGUGAAAUCCCAACUCCACCUCCUACAGAGAAGAAGGAACCAAAGGAAAAGCUGAAUCCUAAUCUGAAAAUAUUCACUCUUAUAUUUCAUGACACACAAAGUUUUCUUGGUAUAUUUUUCCAGGUGUAUGUCAUUCUGGGAUGUUUCUGAUUUUAUUUUCACUAAAUAACUUUGAUGAAUUACUUGAAGUGGGAGAUGGUUCCAUCAGGACUGCUCCAGUCCAACUAGUUCUGUGAUUGCUGUAUCUGAAUGGGGUCCAAGGGAACAAACAGCAAACUGCAUGCAGAAACAUGCAAGGAUUCAGAAUGCCUGACAUUAAAGAACAGAGAAAUUUUGGUUUUUGAGUUUGGCUCUUCAGCAAGUGAGACUGCCAAUUCUACAGGCCAUAACACUCAUUGUAAAAAGCAGAUAACACAGAGUGUCAAAAAUGUCCUUGCAAGCUUUGAAAUGAAAGAGUAAAAAGCUUAAGAGAAGUUACUUCCGUUACAACUUUCACAGUUCAGUACUUGCUCUAUAGACAAUGAAGGGCAAACAAAGUAACCUCAACUGGAACAGCUUUUAAAAAUAAUUGUUUUUCUAGUUUUGUUUAGUUGCAUAUACAGGCAACUGAAUCACUCAGAAAAAAUCAGAAUUCUAUUGUAUUUGUUUUCUUUUUGUUCACAUGCUGGUUUUUGGGUUUUGUGUUUGUUUUUUUUUUUUUUUUUUUUUUUGGCUAGUAAUUGGUUUACAAAAACUGUUACAAUGAUUUACAGGUCUCAUCUCACUGUUUCUAAGUGCCUUAAUGAAAACUAGUUAUAUGGCAGAUUUCCAGGAAGGUAACUAGUAAGAACCUUGUUUACAUUCUCCUUUACCUUCUACUUCCAAUUCUGCUUCCUUUUCCCCUUCCCUUCCUCCUGAAAACCACUAUGGCCAGAAAAGGGAGCAGAGAAGCUGGACAUCAGAAAUAUACAUGUCACCUCACAUCAGAGAUUCAAGAGUGACUGUGUGAGCACUUUUGCUACGCAGCCAGCAAGGCUCUGUGCUUAACAGAGGGGCUUAACUGCAAGGGAGAAGGACAAGGAAGUACUUAGGCUGGUCUUUUUUGCCCCCACUAACUGAAUAAAGAUCAGCAUUAUGGGAA